rnacentral:misc_RNA from 1 species
GUGAAUCAUCAAAUUUUUGAACGCAAAUUGCACUACCUGGUAUUCCGGUGAGUAUGCCUGUUUGAGGGUCGUUAUAAGAAAAAUCGAAGCAUCGCUCUUUUUUUGUGGGUGAUCGCGUCUGAAUUGAGUCGUCUUUAAAAUGUUAAUUGCUGUCAAAGUGGUUUAAAAUUCAUCCAUCCUGUAUGAUUAAAGCGUAUUUAUGAUCAGUUGUGAUUAAGUACGCGCUAUGACGUACCAUAUCAUGUAGUACGUU